rnacentral:rRNA from 1 species
ACGUACACUCCUACGGGAGGCAGCAGUGAGGAAUAUUGGACAAUGGGUGGAAGCCUGAUCCAGCCAUCCCGCGUGCAGGAAGACGGCCCUAUGGGUUGUAAACUGCUUUUAUCUGGGGAUAAACCUACUUACGUGUAAGUAGCUGAAGGUACCAGAAGAAUAAGCACCGGCUAACUCCGUGCCAGCAGCCGCGGUAAUACGGGGGGUGCAAGCGUUAUCCGGAUUUAUUGGGUUUAAAGGGUCCGUAGGCGGACUGAUAAGUCAGUGGUGAAAUCCGACAGCUUAACUGUCGAACUGCCAUUGAUACUGUUAGUCUUGAGUAAGGUUGAAGUGGCUGGAAUAAGUAGUGUAGCGGUGAAAUGCAUAGAUAUUACUUAGAACACCAAUUGCGAAGGCAGGUCACUAAGUCUUAACUGACGCUGAUGGACGAAAGCGUGGGGAGCGAACAGGAUUAGAAACCCCUGUAGUCCCAUGAU